AUUGAACGCUGGCGGCAGGCUUAACACAUGCAAGUCGAACGAGCGGCGGACGGGUGAGUCAUGUCUGGGCAACUGCCUGCUGGAGGGGAAUAACUACUGGAAACGGUAGCUACUACCGCAUACCAUCAUAUGUUCCCAGAUGGGAUUCGCUAGUGGGUGGGGUAAGGGCUCCCCUAGGCGACGAUCCCUAGCUGGUCUGAGAGGAUGACCAGCCAAACUGGAACUGAGACACGGUCCAGACUCCUACGGGAGGCAGCAGUGGGGAAUAUUGCACAAUGGGCGCAAGCCUGAUGCAGCCAUGCCGCGUGUGUGAAGAAGGCCUUCGGGUUGUAAAGCACUUUUAGCGGGGAGGCGUUACCCGCAGAAGAAGCAACGGCUAACUCCGUGCCAGCAGCCGCGGUAAUUC
rnacentral:rRNA from 1 species